rnacentral:rRNA from 1 species
UACAGAGGGUGCAAGCGUUGUUCGGAAUUACUGGGCGUAAAGCGCGCGCAGGCGGAUCCUGCAAGUCCGAAGUGAAACCUCACUGCUCAACGGUGGGGCUGCUUUGGAUACUGCGGAUCUGGAGACCGGUAGAGGCUGGUAGAAUUGCAGGUGUAGCGGUGAAAUGCGUAGAUAUUGGGAGGAACACCAGUGGCGAAGGCGGCUCACUGGACCGGAACUGACGCUGAGGCGCGAAAGCGUGGGGAGCAAACAGG